AAUAAAGUUUAAGCAAUCUUUUUUGUUUUGGAAAAUUUAUUAAUUAUCGCUGCGAAUGUGCGGCGUUGUGGCCAUGGUGUGGCCAAAGUGCCGUGGAAAGGUCAGGGACUUUUUCUACAAUCAACAUGGUUGGAAUUUAAUGAUGGUGUUUUAUCGCAUUAGAAGUGUUACUAUAGAAAAAGUGGAAUGGCCAAAUGGAUGACUGCCCAACAUCAUCAUACGUCCAGCCAUAUGAGUCAAUCUUUUAAACAUCUGCCUUCACCAGGUAAACCUCUGCUUCCAAUGAAAAGGACACCAAUCCUCUUUGUGGGAAACGGCUUGGCGUGUUGGAAUCUUUUGCAGCAGUAGCUAUCAUGAGCCAUCUAUUCAUACAACAGCAAUUGGCCACAUGUAUUUUCUUAACAAGAGCUGAUCAUAAUCGUAUUCGAUGCGAUGAAUCUUUUUAAACAUUUUUGAAGAUGCAGCAGCGAUUUCGGAACGAUCUUGGCUGAUUUUCGCUCCCCACAUGCCUAGUUAAUUAUUAACGUCUGAAUUAAGCCACAAACGCGUCGACGUUGUAAAAGUUAAAAAUGUUUUGAAAUUAGCAGUUUCAUUUAUAGAUGCUUAAGAAAACCAUUUGUAACCACGAACAAAAAGAAUUUACCUCCGAGCAUUAAAGUGCAGUGAUCAUGGUGAUCUCUCAUGACGUGGAAAAUCCGAUCACUGGCCAACCAUUCACCGACAGCCUCUUGUUCACGCUGAAUAAUCAGACUGUCAGAGUCUCUCGACAUGAAAGUGUCAACCAUUUCAUCAAGUAAAGGUAACUUACAUUGCAAGCAGUUAAACAGAAAUUAAUUGGAUAAUAUGCAAAAGACAUUUGUGGUAAUUACCCAACGCCAAGUCAUGGCAAAUGUAAUAUUAUUUAGUUUUUUAUUAUGAAGGAUUUCUGUUGCAUUGCACAAAUCCACGUGUGUUCCAACGUUUAAUUCCCUUUUUAGCGUAGUCCAGGCUGACGUACCGCUGUCUUCAUUGGUUUGGUUGUGGUAAACUCUUGCAAUCCAGCCUUUGAGUUUUACAAUAACAUUUUCUUGCAUUUUUUUUAUUUAGUUAUUUUAUUUCUUUAACUCAAAAGGAGGUACUACCUGGAUAGAUGGAUGGAAUCUUCUCGAGCGUCUCUCUGAGUGGGUAUAAAUACCGUUGGAUAAUUUCUUGUUGUGAAAAAUUGCCGUAAAGGGAAUAAGCAAUAAUAUUUUGGUGAGGGCCUCUGCGAUCAGCAUUCAAGCCACAAGUCGAUAAUGGCCUUCCUCCCACUUCCACGUUGAAAUAAGUGAUUCGAAAUGAUUUUACCGCUAAUUCGUAUAAAACUAUAACGGCCAGCACAUUCGUAAAAAUGAAAACAAAAAGAGGAAGACGUCGACAGAACUGAAAUAUUUUGUGGCGAAGCAUAAUACGAAACAUGUUGAUGUGCUUACUCAGCUCAAGUGAACUUGGAUAUGCAAGAAAUUGAAACCAAACGGCUUUCUUUUACGCAGUUGUUCAAAACAUUCUUUUGUGCAACAUGCGUAUAGGAAACCAGGAAAUAGCCUUUGCUACGAGUUAUUUGGGCCAUGUUUUGAACAGGCAAG
rnacentral:lncRNA from 1 species